GAUGAACGCUAGCUACAGGCUUAACACAUGCAAGUCGAGGGGAAACGACAUCGAAAGCUUGCUUUUGAUGGGCGUCGACCGGCGCACGGGUGAGUAACGCGUAUCCAACCUACCCAUCACUUGGGAAUAACCUUGCGAAAGUAAGACUAAUACCCAAUGACAUCCCACGAAGACAUCUGAAUGGGAUUAAAGAUUUAUCGGUGAUGGAUGGGGAUGCGUCUGAUUAGCUUGUUGGCGGGGUAACGGCCCACCAAGGCAACGAUCAGUAGGGGUUCUGAGAGGAAGGUCCCCCACAUUGGAACUGAGACACGGUCCAAACUCCUACGGGAGGCAGCAGUGAGGAAUAUUGGUCAAUGGGCGAGAGCCUGAACCAGCCAAGUAGCGUGCAGGAUGACGGCCCUAUGGGUUGUAAACUGCUUUUAUAAGGGAAUAAAGUGGGUCUCGUGAGACUUUUUGCAUGUACCUUAUGAAUAAGGACCGGCUAAUUCCGUG
rnacentral:rRNA from 1 species